rnacentral:snRNA from 1 species
ACCGCUUCUCUGCCUUUUGGCUUAGAUCAAAGUGUAGUAUCUGUUCUUAUCAGCUAUCACGUCACUUGAGCUCACGUGACGUGAGGGCAGUGUUACUAUUAUGAACGAAAUCACCUACU